UCUCCGUAGGUGAACCUGCGGAGGGAUCAUUACAGAGUUCAUGCCCUACCGGGUAGGUCUCCCACCCUAUGUUAUUAUUACUUUGUUGCUUUGGCGGGCCGUUAGGCUCCGGCCCGACUACCGGCCCCGGCUGGUAAGCGCCCGCCAGAGGACCCAAAACCCUGAAUAUUAGUGUCGUCUGAGUACUAUAUAAUAGUUAAAACUCUCAACAACGGAUCUCUUGGUUCUG
rnacentral:misc_RNA from 1 species